GGUUAAGCGACUAAGCGUACACGGUGGAUGCCCUGGCAGUCAGAGGCGAUGAAGGGCGUGCUAAUCUGCGAUAAGCGCCGGUAAGGUGAUAUGAACCGUUAUAACCGGCGAUACCCGAAUGGGGAAACCCAGUGUGAUUCGUCACACUAUCAUUAACUGAAUCCAUAGGUUAAUGAGGCGAACCGGGGGAACUGAAACAUCUAAGUACCCCGAGGAAAAGAAAUCAACCGAGAUUCCCCCAGUAGCGGCGAGCGAACGGGGAGGAGCCCAGAGCCUGAAUCAGCAUGUGUGUUAGUGGAAGCGUCUGGAAAGGCGCGCGAUACAGGGUGACAGCCCCGUACACAAAAGCGCAUGUGCUGUGAGCUCGAUGAGUAGGGCGGGACACGUGGUAUCCUGUCUGAAUAUGGGGGGACCAUCCUCCAAGGCUAAAUACUCCUGACUGACCGAUAGUGAACCAGUACCGUGAGGGAAAGGCGAAAAGAACCCCGGCGAGGGGAGUGAAAAAGAACCUGAAACCGUGUACGUACAAGCAGUGGGAGCACAGGUUUACCUGUGUGACUGCGUACCUUUUGUAUAAUGGGUCAGCGACUUAUAUUCUGUAGCAAGGUUAACCGUAUAGGGGAGCCGGAGGGAAACCGAGUCUUAACCGGGCGUUAAGUUGCAGGGUAUAGACCCGAAACCCGGUGAUCUAGCCAUGGGCAGGUUGAAGGUUGGGUAACACUAACUGGAGGACCGAACCGACUAAUGUUGAAAAAUUAGCGGAUGACCUGUGGCUGGGGGUGAAAGGCCAAUCAAACCGGGAGAUAGCUGGUUCUCCCCGAAAGCUAUUUAGGUAGCGCCUCGUGAAUUCAUCUCCGGGGGUAGAGCACUGUUUCGGCUAGGGGGCCAUCCCGGCUUACCAACCCGAUGCAAACUGCGAAUACCGGAGAAUGUUAUCACGGGAGACACACGGCGGGUGCUAACGUCCGUCGUGAAGAGGGAAACAACCCAGACCGCCAGCUAAGGUCCCAAAGUCAUGGUUAAGUGGGAAACGAUGUGGGAAGGCCCAGACAGCCAGGAUGUUGGCUUAGAAGCAGCCAUCAUUUAAAGAAAGCGUAAUAGCUCACUGGUCGAGUCGGCCUGCGCGGAAGAUGUAACGGGGCUAAACCAUGCACCGAAGCUGCGGCAGCGACGCUGAUGCGUUGUUGGGUAGGGGAGCGUUCUGUAAGCCUGCGAAGGUGGCCUGUGAGGGUUGCUGGAGGUAUCAGAAGUGCGAAUGCUGACAUAAGUAACGAUAAAGCGGGUGAAAAGCCCGCUCGCCGGAAGACCAAGGGUUCCUGUCCAACGUUAAUCGGGGCAGGGUGAGUCGACCCCUAAGGCGAGGCCGAAAGGCGUAGUCGAUGGGAAACGGGUUAAUAUUCCCGUACUUGGUGUUACUGCGAAGGGGGGACGGAGAAGGCUAUGUUGGCCGGGCGACGGUUGUCCCGGUUUAAGCGUGUAGGUGUGUGUUCCAGGUAAAUCCGGUUCACUUUAACACUGAGGCGUGACGACGAGGCACUACGGUGCUGAAGCAACAAAUGCCCUGCUUCCAGGAAAAGCCUCUAAGCAUCAGGUAACAUCAAAUCGUACCCCAAACCGACACAGGUGGUCAGGUAGAGAAUACCAAGGCGCUUGAGAGAACUCGGGUGAAGGAACUAGGCAAAAUGGUGCCGUAACUUCGGGAGAAGGCACGCUGACAUGUAGGUGAAGUGAUUUACUCAUGGAGCUGAAGUCAGUCGAAGAUACCAGCUGGCUGCAACUGUUUAUUAAAAACACAGCACUGUGCAAACACGAAAGUGGACGUAUACGGUGUGACGCCUGCCCGGUGCCGGAAGGUUAAUUGAUGGGGUCAGCGCAAGCGAAGCUCCUGAUCGAAGCCCCGGUAAACGGCGGCCGUAACUAUAACGGUCCUAAGGUAGCGAAAUUCCUUGUCGGGUAAGUUCCGACCUGCACGAAUGGCGUAAUGAUGGCCAGGCUGUCUCCACCCGAGACUCAGUGAAAUUGAACUCGCUGUGAAGAUGCAGUGUACCCGCGGCAAGACGGAAAGACCCCGUGAACCUUUACUAUAGCUUGACACUGAACAUUGAGCCUUGAUGUGUAGGAUAGGUGGGAGGCUUUGAAGUGUGGACGCCAGUCUGCAUGGAGCCGACCUUGAAAUACCACCCUUUAAUGUUUGAUGUUCUAACGUGGACCCGUUACCCGGGUUGCGGACAGUGUCUGGUGGGUAGUUUGACUGGGGCGGUCUCCUCCUAAAGAGUAACGGAGGAGCACGAAGGUUGGCUAAUCCUGGUCGGACAUCAGGAGGUUAGUGCAAUGGCAUAAGCCAGCUUGACUGCGAGCGUGACGGCGCGAGCAGGUGCGAAAGCAGGUCAUAGUGAUCCGGUGGUUCUGAAUGGAAGGGCCAUCGCUCAACGGAUAAAAGGUACUCCGGGGAUAACAGGCUGAUACCGCCCAAGAGUUCAUAUCGACGGCGGUGUUUGGCACCUCGAUGUCGGCUCAUCACAUCCUGGGGCUGAAGUAGGUCCCAAGGGUAUGGCUGUUCGCCAUUUAAAGUGGUACGCGAGCUGGGUUUAGAACGUCGUGAGACAGUUCGGUCCCUAUCUGCCGUGGGCGCUGGAGAACUGAGGGGGGCUGCUCCUAGUACGAGAGGACCGGAGUGGACGCAUCACUGGUGUUCGGGUUGUCAUGCCAAUGGCACUGCCCGGUAGCUAAAUGCGGAAGAGAUAAGUGCUGAAAGCAUCUAAGCACGAAACUUGCCCCGAGAUGAGUUCUCCCUGAGACUUAGAGUCUCCUGAAGGAACGUUGAAGACGACGACGUUGAUAGGCCGGGUGUGUAAGCGCAGCGAUGCGUUGAGCUAACCGGUACUAAUGAACCGUGAGGCUUAACCUU
rnacentral:rRNA from 1 species